UACGAAGGGGGCUAGCGUUGCUCGGAAUCACUGGGCGUAAAGCGCACGUAGGCGGAUUGCUAAGUCAGGGGUGAAAUCCUGGAGCUCAACUCCAGAACUGCCUUUGAUACUGGCAACCUUGAGUCCGGGAGAGGUGAGUGGAAUUCCGAGUGUAGAGGUGAAAUUCGUAGAUAUUCGGAAGAACACCAGUGGCGAAGGCGGCUCACUGGACCGGCAUUGACGCUGAGGUGCGAAAGCGUGGGGAGCAAACAGG
rnacentral:rRNA from 1 species